rnacentral:rRNA from 1 species
UGUGGCUGGGGGUGAAAGGCCAAUCAAACCGGGAGAUAGCUGGUUCUCCCCGAAAGCUAUUUAGGUAGCGCCUCGUGAAUUCAUCUCCGGGGGUAGAGCACUGUUUCGGCUAGGGGGCCAUCCCGGCUUACCAACCCGAUGCAAACUGCGAAUACCGGAGAAUGUUAUCACGGGAGACACACGGCGGGUGCUAACGUCCGUCGUGAAGAGGGAAACAACCCAGACCGCCAGCUAAGGUCCCAAAGUCAUGGUUAAGUGGGAAACGAUGUGGGAAGGCCCAGACAGCCAGGAUGUUGGCUUAGAAGCAGCCAUCAUUUAAAGAAAGCGUAAUAGCUCACUGGUCGAGUCGGCCUGCGCGGAAGAUGUAACGGGGCUAAACCAUGCACCGAAGCUGCGGCAGCGAACGUAUCACUUAAAGCGAUUCAGCGGGUUACGAUUGACGGAGCGAAGCGACGUCAAAGCGUAUACAAAGUCGAGUCGGUUUAAGGAUACGUU